rnacentral:rRNA from 1 species
UUGGAGGGCAAGUCUGGUGCCAGCAGCCGCGGUAAUUCCAGCUCCAAUAGCGUAUAUUAAAGUUGUUGCAGUUAAAAAGCUCGUAGUUGAAUUUCGGGGUCAGUAGGUCGGUCGUGCCACUGGUAUGAACUGGUUUUACUGAUUCCUCCCUCUUGAAGAACUGUAAUGCCAUUAAUUUGGUGUUGCAGGGAAUCAGGACUGUUACUUUGAAAAAAUUAGAGUGUUUAAAGCAGGCUUUAGCUUGAAUACAUUAGCAUGGAAUAAUGAAAUAGGACGUUUGAUCCUAUUUUGUUGGUUUCUAGGAUUGACGUAAUGAUUAAUAGGGAUAGUUGGGGGCAUUAGUAUUCAAUUGUCAGAGGUGAAAUUCUUGGAUUUAUUGAAGACUAACUACUGCGAAAGCAUUUGCCAAGGAUGUUUUCAUUAAUCAAGAACGAAAGUUAGGGGAUCGAAGACGAUCAGAUACCGUCGUAGUCUUARCCAUAAACUAUGCCGACUAGGGAUCGGGUGAUGUUAAUUUUUUAAUGACUCAUUCGGCGCCUUACGGGAAAC